UCGUCUCAGCAUCGGUCUUCUCCGAUUGGCUACUGGUUCUACCUAUGCUGAUAUCUCCAGUAGAUUUGGAGUCUCAGAAGCCACAUCCAGGUUUUGUACCAAGCAGCUAUGUCGUGUCCUCUGCACCAAUUCUAGGUUUUGGGUUGCGUUUCCCAGCCAUUCCGAAUUGCAAUCCUUGUCAGCAGGCUU